rnacentral:rRNA from 1 species
AGGGGCAGCACGGUCUUAGCUUGCUAAGGCCGAUGGCGACCGGCGCACGGGUGAGUAACACGUAUCCAACCUGCCGUCUACUCUUGGACAGCCUUCUGAAAGGGAGAUUAAUACAAGAUGGCAUCAUGAGUCCGCAUGUUCACAUGAUUAAAGGUAUUCCGGUAGACGAUGGGGAUGCGUUCCAUUAGAUAGUAGGCGGGGUAACGGCCCACCUAGUCUUCGAUGGAUAGGGGUUCUGAGAGGAAGGUCCCCCACAUUGGAACUGAGACACGGUCCAAACUCCUACGGGAGGCAGCAGUGAGGAAUAUUGGUCAAUGAGCGAGAGCCUGAACCAGCCAAGUAGCGUGAAGGAUGACUGCCCUAUGGGUUGUAAACUUCUUUUAUAAAGGAAUAAAGUCGGGUAUGCAUACCCGUUUGCAUGUACUUUAUGAAUAAGGAUCGGCUAACUCCGUGCCAGCAGCCGCGGUAAUACGGAGGAUCCGAGCGUUAUCCGGAUUUAUUGGGUUUAAAGGGAGCGUAGAUGGAUGUUUAAGUCAGUUGUGAAAGUUUGCGGCUCAACCGUAAAAUUGCAGUUGAUACUGGAUAUCUUGAGUGCAGUUGAGGCAGGCGGAAUUCGUGGUGUAGCGGUGAAAUGCUUAGAUAUCACGAAGAACUCCGAUUGCGA